CAAGGAUUCAAAUGGAGGAUUCGAACAUGCACAAAGCGUUUCGCCGAAAGAUAAUGGCUUUGACUGUAACGGUAAUGGUACAGAAACAGUUCAGUGUCAAAACAGCGAGUGCUCUGCGGAUCUGCAGAAACUGAUGACAACUCUAAGCCAAAAAUUUGAUAAGCUUGAACACACCCAGGGACAGAUUCAGACAGAAGUUUGACCAAAAGUUGACGAGCAUUUUAAGUAAAACAAACGUGUUGGUCGGAUUUGCAGUAUCAAACCCAGAUACGUCCUCCAGUUCUGCCCUUAAGUUCAAAAAACGUAAUAUACAAUUCAGGAGACGGCUAUAGUUUGUACUCAGGUGUGUUCACUUGUAGACAUCCAGGACUCUACUUCUUCACGGCAACUAUUUUCAGAAAGCUCAGGUGCACGUGAAAGCGCAUGUAAUUUUCAUGUCAACGGCGUUUCCAAGUUAGCAGUGAACACUGGUAAUGCUGCCAAUGAUGGUUUUCAGUCAGGAUCAGGAUCAUUUGUUUAUCGUUUAAAUGCAGGAGAUAUUGUUGUCCUAUCGAAUUGCUUUAAACAAGCCUACAUACACCAAUAUUCUUCUUUCACUGGAUUUCGUGUUUCUUAUUAAGUGGCCAGUCGCAGUCAAUUAUUUACAAGAUGUAUAAUUUACACUUUUUUUCAAAAGGCGUUUAAAAGUUAUAUUAUUAAACUUUACAAUAUUCUAGACAUAAAUACAAAAAAUGUUUACAAUUAAUGUUCAACUUUUGUAUCGGUUUUAUACAACAACAACACCACCAUCACCACCACCACUCAACAACUACAACAACAAUUAUGUUGUUUUUUAUUAUCUGAAGAAAAGUUUCACUUAUAUAAUAUUUUCAUUAGUUGAAAAGUGAUAAUAAAGAGCUAUACAUAUAGUUUUUGAAUACCUUUAAAUAAAUCAAUGUAAAUAUAAA